CAGGCGUUCUGGUGGCGCUUGGAAGGGUGGCCCGAGGACAGGACUCGGCUCAUCUCGGCAGCAGGGGGCGGCCCGCAGAGGGGACGAAGCCCCCCCAAGCUCCGGAAACCCGGCCCCAUCUGGGGGGUGGUGCCAGCCCCAAGCAAUGGGGCUCGAGAACCCGAGAUCAGCUUCCUGGCCCGUGGACAGCCUCGGGGGCAAAUGACACCACCUCCCGGAUGCCUUCUCAUCCUGCACGACACGGAAAAGACUUUUCAUUUGGAAUCCUUCCGAUGCAGAUGUGUGAAGACUCUGGUAGCGACAUCUCGGGGACUGAGCAUCUUCUAUUGAUUGGAAAACACACAGCACCAGCGACUUUGCACAUCAGAGGGGGGCUCGGAGGCUGGGUGGCAGGAAGCAGCCGCGGGGCCUCAGCGCCCCCUGGGAGCUGGAGACGGUACUGCGCCGGCCCCUGGAAGGAGGCAGCUGGGCUGUGAGCUCAAGGGUGAUGAUGGGGAGGCCCCCCCCCGGGGGGACACCUACCUGCCCGAGGAGACCACGUGAAGGAGGCUGUGCCGCACCUGGCCCUGCCGGUCCAUCCCCGAUGGCUCUGGGCAAAUCACUUCGCCUCUGCUGUCCAGCUUCCCCACCUGUAAAAUUGGGGUGACACCCAGGGGCACCCCAGGGACCCUUCGAAUUAGCUGUGUGACCUUCAGAAAGCCAGGAGACCUGUCAGUGUAUUCUCGGCGGGUAGAGCGAUUCCCACACAGAGCUGCUCGGAGGAAGCGAUCAGAUGGUAGACAGAUGACUGCAGAGCACAGCCGUCCUCGUGCCCCACCGACGGACGCAGCCAGCCUCGGGUUCCUCCAGGCGUGGCGAGCAGAGCUUGAGAUGGUCCAACCGUAUGAGCUCCUCUGUCCUCCUAAGAUGGCCUCUCAGUAGCACCCACAACUGAAGGGCAACCGUGUCCGCACGCUGGGGACAGUGACUGGCCAGGGCCUCGACCCCUCUGGGAGUCCAGCCGAGGGCGGGGAAGGUUGACCUGGCUCCGGACUCCCCCUGCCCCCCGCCACAAACAACAACAACAACAACAACAAAGCGACAAAUCGUCUUCUGAAGAAGAGUCUGGGGCCCCGGGAGGUGCUGGGGAGGGAGAUGGGGAGCAAAGCUGCCUUCACGUCUCUGCAGUCGCAGGGAUUCGGGCCCGAAAAGGCUGUUUUAUUGAAAACCAUCCAUCUGCGUUCUGGGAUGAGUCAGGGCACGUCUCUCGUGCAGAAUGUGCCGGGCUUGGCCAAGUUAAGGUAGCAACUCUGCCCUCUGCCUCCGCAAGGGUGGGGGAGAGGGAAGGGCUUCUUUUUGACCAGAGGCCCCGCUCAGGACCAGGCUGGGGACAUGCAGGAGCCUCCCUCUUCCCUGUGCUGGGAGCCACCUGGAUCGUGUCUUGGAGCUAAGACCCCUGGGGCUGGGCGAAGGGCCGGCAGCCUGGGUCCUUCAUCCAAACAUUAAACUGUUUGUGAUCUAAGAAGUCCUGGUGACACUCCGUUCUGGGGAGCUUUCAUCUCCUUGCUGACACGCGGAGUGAGACAGAGCACCAGGCUGGCCCGCGGCCGCGGGACUGCAGGGGUGGGAGUCGGAGGGCCUGGGGGCAUCCACACUGCCCUCCCUCACCUCGCAGGCCUCAGACUGGAGACAGGCCUGGAGGGAGCCCCACCCUGCAGACGCCUAGCAAACCCCCAGCUCGGUCUCCUUUCUGCUCCGCAGGAGAGAAGACAGACCCCUCCAGAGUGGCAGAGGGGCAGAGGGGCACCAGGCAGGAUCUCAGAGAAGCCGGGUGAGGGCCAGGCCGAGGCCCAGGGGGGGCUGGAGGCCGGCAGUGUCGAGCCGGGAGAGUCCCUGUAGCCUCCCCGCAUGCCGCAGGAGCCUUUGAGGGGACACCGGGACAGCGAGCAGCCGGGACCCCUGGAGCCCAGGUGUUUCUCCAAGAUCUCGAAGCGGGAGCCCAGCGAGGGGCAUUAAUGGCCGUGAACAAGACCGCUGGCUUCCUGGGGUCAAUGAGGGGAGCGAAGGAAACGCAGACGGCAGGAGAGCAGUGCAGGCCAGGGCCGUUCACCGGGGCUCCACCCAC